AUGGCCUGGGCCCCUCUGCUCCUCACGCUGCUCACUUACUGUGUUGGUUGGAGUUCCCAGAGUGCGCUGACUCAGACCAGCUCCGUGGCAGUGAAACCGGGGGAGACGGCCGAGCUGCACUGCACACUGCAAGGGGUGGAGUACAUUAGUAACAACAGCCCAUCCUGGUAUCAGCAGAGAUCGGGGACGGCCCCUCGGUUACUGAUCUAUAAAUCAAGGAGCAGAGCCUCCGGGAUCCCCGAGCGCUUCUCUGGGGAGACGAAUGGUAACAGGGCGUCGUUAACCAUCACUGGAGCCCAGGCCGAGGAUAAUGCUGAUUAUUACUGUGCUGUGUGGACUGGGAGUGCUCAUCACAGUGACACAGUCAGAUGA